rnacentral:ncRNA from 1 species
GAUCCGUAACUUCGGGAAAAGGAUUGGCUCUAAGGGUUGGGUGCGUCGGGCCUUGUGCAAGAAGCUUGCGGGCGACCCGGCUGGGGACUACCUUCGGGCGGUUUCUGGCUAGGAAGCCUGUGGGGGGACGGCCUUGGCUUGUCCUUCGGGGCAGUUCCGGCGUACACUUAACAACCAACUUAGAACUGGUAC